UGGGGAAUCUUGGACAAUGGGGGCAACCCUGAUCCAGCCAUGCCGCGUGAGUGAUGAAGGCCUUAGGGUCGUAAAGCUCUUUCGCCUGUGAAGAUAAUGACGGUAGCAGGUAAAGAAACCCCGGCUAACUCCGUGCCAGCAGCCGCGGUAAUACGGAGGGGGUUAGCGUUGUUCGGAAUUACUGGGCGUAAAGCGCACGUAGGCGGACCAGAAAGUUGGGGGUGAAAUCCCGGGGGCUCAACCCCGGAACUGCCUCCAAAACUAUUGGUCUAGAGUUCGAGAGAGGUGAGUGGAAUUCCAAGUGUAGAGGUGAAAUUCGUAGAUAUUUGGAGGAACACCAGUGGCGAAGGCGGCUCACUGGCUCGAUACUGACGCUGAGGUGCGAAAGUGUGGGGAGCAAACAGGGAUUAGAUACCCUGGUAGUCCACACCGUAAAACGAUGGAAAUGCCCAGUCGUCGGGUAGCAUGCUAUUCGGUGACACACCUAACGGAUUAAGCA
rnacentral:rRNA from 1 species